GAUGAACGCUAGCUACAGGCUUAACACAUGCAAGUCGAGGGGUAGCAGGGUAGCAAUACCGCUGACGACCGGCGCACGGGUGAGUAACACGUAUCCAACCUUCCCAUAACUCGGGGAUAGCCUUUCGAAAGAAAGAUUAAUACCUGAUAGUACUUAAGAAAGGCAUCUUUUUUAAGUUAAAGAUUUAUUGGUUAUGGAUGGGGAUGCGUUCCAUUAGAUAGUUGGUGAGGUAACGGCUCACCAAGUCUUCGAUGGAUAGGGGUUCUGAGAGGAAGGUCCCCCACAUUGGAACUGGGACACGGACCAAACUCCUACGGGAGGCAGCAGUGAGGAAUAUUGGUCAAUGGGCGAGAGCCUGAACCAGCCAAGUAGCGUGAAGGAUGAAGGUCCUAUGGAUUGUAAACUUCUUUUAUAGUAGAAUAAAGUGAACCACGUGUGGUUUUUUGUAUGUAUACUAUGAAUAAGGAUCGGCUAACUCCGUGCCAGCCGCCGCGGUAA
rnacentral:rRNA from 1 species